AUUGAACGCUGGCGGCAGGCCUAACACAUGCAAGUCGAGCGGGGUUUUCGGACCUAGCGGCGGACGGGUGAGUAAUGCGUAGGAAGCUACCCGAUAGAGGGGGAUACCAGUUGGAAACGACUGUUAAUACCGCAUAAUGUCUACGGACCAAAGUGUGGGACCUUCGGGCCACAUGCUAUCGGAUGCGCCUACGUGGGAUUAGCUAGUUGGUGAGGUAAUGGCUCAACAAGGCGACGAUCCCUAGCUGGUUUGAGAGGAUGAUCAGCCACACUGGAACUGAGACACGGGUCAGACGCCUACGGGAGGCAGCAGUGGGGAAUAUUGGACAAUGGGCGGAAGCAUGAUCCAGCCAUGCCGCGUGUGUGAAGAAGGCCUUCGGGUUGUAAAGCACUUUCAGUAGGGAGGAAGCGUUGUGUGUUAAUAGUACACAGCGUUGACGUUACCUACAGAAGAAGAACCGGCUAACUCUGUGCCAGCCGCCGCCGUAAUAC
rnacentral:rRNA from 1 species